CGGGGUGUGGCUCAGUUUGGCUAGAGCGCCACCUUAGGGAGGUGGAGGCCGCAAGUUCGAAUCUUGUCACUCCGACGA
rnacentral:tRNA from 1 species